UACAGAGGUCUCAAACGUUGUUCGGAAUCACUGGGCGUAAAGGGUGUGUAGGCGGUGUGCUAAGUCAGAUGUGAAAGCCCGGGGCUCAACCUCGGAACUGCAUCCGAUACUGGCAUGCUAGAGAAUUGGAGAGGAGUCUAGAAUUCACGGUGUAGCAGUGAAAUGCGUAGAUAUCGUGAGGAAUACCAAGUGCGAAGGCAGGACUCUGGACAUUUUCUGACGCUGAGACACGGAAGGCCCAGGGGAGCAAACGGG
rnacentral:rRNA from 1 species